GGUUAAGCGACUAAGCGUACACGGUGGAUGCCCUGGCAGUCAGAGGCGAUGAAGGACGUGCUAAUCUGCGAUAAGCGUCGGUAAGGUGAUAUGAACCGUUAUAACCGGCGAUUUCCGAAUGGGGAAACCCAGUGUGUUUCGACACACUAUCAUUAACUGAAUCCAUAGGUUAAUGAGGCGAACCGGGGGAACUGAAACAUCUAAGUACCCCGAGGAAAAGAAAUCAACCGAGAUUCCCCCAGUAGCGGCGAGCGAACGGGGAGCAGCCCAGAGCCUGAAUCAGUGUGUGUGUUAGUGGAAGCGUCUGGAAAGGCGCGCGAUACAGGGUGACAGCCCCGUACACAAAAAUGCACAUAUUGUGAGCUCGAUGAGUAGGGCGGGACACGUGGUAUCCUGUCUGAAUAUGGGGGGACCAUCCUCCAAGGCUAAAUACUCCUGACUGACCGAUAGUGAACCAGUACCGUGAGGGAAAGGCGAAAAGAACCCCGGCGAGGGGAGUGAAAAAGAACCUGAAACCGUGUACGUACAAGCAGUGGGAGCACGCUUAGGCGUGUGACUGCGUACCUUUUGUAUAAUGGGUCAGCGACUUAUAUUCUGUAGCAAGGUUAACCGAAUAGGGGAGCCGAAGGGAAACCGAGUCUUAACUGGGCGUUAAGUUGCAGGGUAUAGACCCGAAACCCGGUGAUCUAGCCAUGGGCAGGUUGAAGGUUGGGUAACACUAACUGGAGGACCGAACCGACUAAUGUUGAAAAAUUAGCGGAUGACUUGUGGCUGGGGGUGAAAGGCCAAUCAAACCGGGAGAUAGCUGGUUCUCCCCGAAAGCUAUUUAGGUAGCGCCUCGUGAAUUCAUCUCCGGGGGUAGAGCACUGUUUCGGCAAGGGGGUCAUCCCGACUUACCAACCCGAUGCAAACUGCGAAUACCGGAGAAUGUUAUCACGGGAGACACACGGCGGGUGCUAACGUCCGUCGUGAAGAGGGAAACAACCCAGACCGCCAGCUAAGGUCCCAAAGUCAUGGUUAAGUGGGAAACGAUGUGGGAAGGCCCAGACAGCCAGGAUGUUGGCUUAGAAGCAGCCAUCAUUUAAAGAAAGCGUAAUAGCUCACUGGUCGAGUCGGCCUGCGCGGAAGAUGUAACGGGGCUAAACCAUGCACCGAAGCUGCGGCAGCGACGCUUAUGCGUUGUUGGGUAGGGGAGCGUUCUGUAAGCCUGUGAAGGUGUGCUGUGAGGCAUGCUGGAGGUAUCAGAAGUGCGAAUGCUGACAUAAGUAACGAUAAAGCGGGUGAAAAGCCCGCUCGCCGGAAGACCAAGGGUUCCUGUCCAACGUUAAUCGGGGCAGGGUGAGUCGACCCCUAAGGCGAGGCCGAAAGGCGUAGUCGAUGGGAAACAGGUUAAUAUUCCUGUACUUGGUGUUACUGCGAAGGGGGGACGGAGAAGGCUAUGUUGGCCGGGCGACGGUUGUCCCGGUUUAAGCGUGUAGGCUGGUUUUCCAGGCAAAUCCGGAAAAUCAAGGCUGAGGCGUGAUGACGAGGCACUACGGUGCUGAAGCAACAAAUGCCCUGCUUCCAGGAAAAGCCUCUAAGCAUCAGGUAACAUCAAAUCGUACCCCAAACCGACACAGGUGGUCAGGUAGAGAAUACCAAGGCGCUUGAGAGAACUCGGGUGAAGGAACUAGGCAAAAUGGUGCCGUAACUUCGGGAGAAGGCACGCUGAUAUGUAGGUGAAGUCCCUUGCGGAUGGAGCUGAAAUCAGUCGAAGAUACCAGCUGGCUGCAACUGUUUAUUAAAAACACAGCACUGUGCAAACACGAAAGUGGACGUAUACGGUGUGACGCCUGCCCGGUGCCGGAAGGUUAAUUGAUGGGGUUAGCGCAAGCGAAGCUCUUGAUCGAAGCCCCGGUAAACGGCGGCCGUAACUAUAACGGUCCUAAGGUAGCGAAAUUCCUUGUCGGGUAAGUUCCGACCUGCACGAAUGGCGUAAUGAUGGCCAGGCUGUCUCCACCCGAGACUCAGUGAAAUUGAACUCGCUGUGAAGAUGCAGUGUACCCGCGGCAAGACGGAAAGACCCCGUGAACCUUUACUAUAGCUUGACACUGAACAUUGAGCCUUGAUGUGUAGGAUAGGUGGGAGGCUUAGAAGUGUGGACGCCAGUCUGCAUGGAGCCGACCUUGAAAUACCACCCUUUAAUGUUUGAUGUUCUAACGUUGACCCGUAAUCCGGGUUGCGGACAGUGUCUGGUGGGUAGUUUGACUGGGGCGGUCUCCUCCUAAAGAGUAACGGAGGAGCACGAAGGUUGGCUAAUCCUGGUCGGACAUCAGGAGGUUAGUGCAAUGGCAUAAGCCAGCUUGACUGCGAGCGUGACGGCGCGAGCAGGUGCGAAAGCAGGUCAUAGUGAUCCGGUGGUUCUGAAUGGAAGGGCCAUCGCUCAACGGAUAAAAGGUACUCCGGGGAUAACAGGCUGAUACCGCCCAAGAGUUCAUAUCGACGGCGGUGUUUGGCACCUCGAUGUCGGCUCAUCACAUCCUGGGGCUGAAGUAGGUCCCAAGGGUAUGGCUGUUCGCCAUUUAAAGUGGUACGCGAGCUGGGUUUAGAACGUCGUGAGACAGUUCGGUCCCUAUCUGCCGUGGGCGCUGGAGAACUGAGGGGGGCUGCUCCUAGUACGAGAGGACCGGAGUGGACGCAUCACUGGUGUUCGGGUUGUCAUGCCAAUGGCACUGCCCGGUAGCUAAAUGCGGAAGAGAUAAGUGCUGAAAGCAUCUAAGCACGAAACUUGCCCCGAGAUGAGUUCUCCCUGACCCUUUAAGGGUCCUGAAGGAACGUUGAAGACGACGACGUUGAUAGGCCGGGUGUGUAAGCGCAGCGAUGCGUUGAGCUAACCGGUACUAAUGAACCGUGAGGCUUAACCUU
rnacentral:rRNA from 1 species